rnacentral:rRNA from 1 species
GACGAACGCUGGCGGCGUGCUUAACACAUGCAAGUCGAACGGAAAGGCCCUGCUUUUGUGGGGUGCUCGAGUGGCGAACGGGUGAGUAACACGUGAGUAACCUGCCCUUGACUUUGGGGUAACUUCAGGAAACUGGGGCUAAUAUCGGAUAGGAGCUCCUGCUGCAUGGUGGGGGUUGGAAAGUUUCGGCGGUUGGGGAUGGACUCGCGGCUUAUCCGCUUGUUGGUGGGGUAGUGGCUUACCAAGGCUUUGACGGGUAGCCGGCCUGGGAGGGUGACCGGCCACAUUGGGACUGAGAUACGGCCCAGACUCCUACGGGAGGCAGCAGUGGGGAAUAUUGCACAAUGGGCGGAAGCCAGAUGCAGCAACGCCGCGUGCGGGAUGACGUCCUUCGGGUUGUAAACCGCUUUCGCCUGUGACGAAGCGUGAGUGACGGUAAUGGGUAAAGAAGCACCGGCUAACUACGUG